rnacentral:rRNA from 1 species
AGUGGCGCACGGGUGAGUAACGCGUGGGAACCUGCCUGGCAGUACGGGACAACCGCGGGAAACUGCGGCUAAUACCGUAUNCGCCCGUCCUUGGGAGACCGGGGGCGGGGAAAGAGGAUCGCUGNUGGAGGGGCCCGCGUCGGAUUAGGUAGUUGGUGGGGUAACGGUCUACCAAGCCUGCGAUCCGUAGCUGGNCUGAGAGGAUGAUCAGCCACACUGGGACUGAGACACGGCCCAGACUCCUACNGGAGGCAGCAGUGGGGAAUAUUGGACAAUGGGCGCAAGCCUGAUCCANCAAUGCCGCGUGAGUGAUGAAGGCCUUAAGGUUGUAAAGCUCUUUCACACGCGACGAUGAUGACGGUAGCGUGAGAAGAAGCCCCGGCUAACUCCGUGCCAUCAGCCACGGUAAUACGGAGGGGGCUAGCGUUGUUCUGAAUUACUGGGCGUNNAGGGCGCGCAGGCGGCUGCUCAAUCUGGGCGUGAAAGGCCUGGGCUUAACCCGGGAAUUGCGCUUGAGACUGGGCUGGCUUGAGAGCGGGAGAUGAUGGUGGAAUUCCCAGUGUAGAGGUGAAAUUAGUAGAUAUUGGGAAGAACACCGGUGGCGAAGGCGGCCAUCUGGACCGCAACUGACGCUGAGGCGCGAAAGCGUGGGGAGCAAACAGGAUUAGAUACCCUGGUAGUCCACGCCGUAAACGAUGAGUGCUAGACGUUGGGAG